AGGCUGCGAGCAGGACAGAGGCAAGGCUGGGCUGAAGGCUCCCCCCAUAGCUGGGCGCCCUCUCUUCCUUUCCCCCUAACUCUAGUCUCUGGGCGGGGGGAGGUGGGAAGGGAGAAGGCAUUUCUUUUGUUCUACAUUGUGCCAGGCACUGUGCUCAAUGCUUUACAUAUAACUAGUUUGAAUCUCAAAGCAACCCUGGGAGGUAGAUGCCAUUAUUAUCCUCAUUUUGCAGAAGAUAAAACUGAGGCAGGCGGAGGUUAAGAGAUUUGUCUCUGUUGAUAGAGCUAGGAAGCUCUGAAGUUGGAUUUGAAUUGGUGUUCUUGAAAGAAAAGCGCAAGGCGAGGUUGGUCCUUGGGCACACUCCUUAGUCUGGAUUGUGGUGGAAGAGAACCCUGACCUGCAUGAAGAGCCAGUCACGCCCGUCUGGCCGCGCUCACUGUGGCCUCAGUUCUCCUCUUAUCCCUCAGCUUUACCUGUCUAUAGGAGUAAGCAGAGCUCUGUUGUGCAGCUGACUUCAGUUUCCCCCGAGAGAGAUGAGUUCAUGAUAACAACGGCGAGUAUGUCAUGGAGAUUCCAGGAAUCACAAGUGUUUCACAUAGAAGAUUUAUUAGAAACUAACAUGACAUAAUUGAUAAAUCUGGAAAAAUUCUACCCAGGAGCCAGGCUUUUGUUUUCCAGAGGCUUAAUAUUUAGCAUUGUUUCUUUUCUCUCCCACCUCCGAAUGACUCUAUUCCUUUUCCCAAUUGGAUUUUGCUUGGCAAACUAGAGGUUUCCAUUACUGACUUCAAUCAUGUCCAUCAGGAGAAGAUCAUUUUGUAAUUGUGUGAGGUUCUACCCUCCCAAGGCCUCUUCUUGUUCUGGUACUCAGCUUUCUGAAUGAUGGCCUUGGUGGAAGUGGAAUUCACAUUUAUCUGGAAAGUCAAGAUUUGAGAAGCUGACCUUGCAAUUGGAGGUGAGCCGGCAUUUCUAAAUUCUGGGGAAAGUGAGGUAAUGAGGGUGGGGUGGAGCUUGAAAGUGAGAGAACAGAUUAGAUUGGUGGUGUCUGGGAGUGGAGGAAUUCUGAGGGGUGGCUGGAGGUGGCGGGUGUUCUAGCCUUCAGAGCUGAGUAGAUGGCUGUCUGGAC
rnacentral:lncRNA from 1 species